GUCAGCGUGGGAUAGUGGUGUGAGUGUUGGACUAUGACUCUGGAGACCAGGGUUUGAUUCCCAGCUAGGUGACU